CAACGGCCUAAAGUCUUACUAAGAGCAUUAUGUGAAUUGAAUCUCCAGGUUUGGGAUUAUGAUUAAUUCAAUGGAUUUCAUUGUCUGGUGACGAUUUUUGGUUGUUUACUCAAUACUAAUCAAUUCAUUUGAUUUUUCCUUCAAGCGGCAAAAGAAUGCACCUUGGACAUACUUUCGAACAGUUCAACAAUUAGUUCUGCUGAUUCGAGUAACAACAAUCAAAUACAAUUAAAAGUUCAUGAAUCUACUUAUUCAAAGAAAAACGUAUCAGAGGUUGGUGGCUUUUCUAAGCAAAUCUAGCCGAUUAAUUAACUGGUAAAUUGGAGGCUGAUUUUGAACUGUUAACCCAAGACGAAGCUGAUGCUAAUCCGGCUGGAUUAGCACGAGAUCCAACUCAGCCUUUGGAUUAGCCUCAGCAACCUGAUACAUCGUUCACAUGGCUCGCUAAUCCGUGGAAAUCGUUUCGAUACAUCAUUUGGACUCGACGAAAAUUGUUCUUCUUUAAGCUUUUACUUUUCGUUUUCUUUUUGAUAUUUUUCUAUUCUCUACCAGAUUACACAGUUAAGAAAAUGAUUGGAGCUUAAUUAACUUCUGAUUGUGAUCAACUAAUUACAUUACUCAAGGUCUUCGAUGCAGUUAUGUAUGGACGAUAAUCUAAUGACAACUUUAUCAAAAAGCGCUAGUAACAAAUUGAGAUGAAUAAAAUACUCAAACAAUUAAGAUUAAUGAUUAUUGAAUUCCAUUCACUAAUUAAUUAGUUCAGUUAACUUCAAUCACUUUAACCCGAAGGAAGGAAAAGGAUCUAAACAAUUAACUGUGGAAAUGAUUAACUUCGGUAGUAUGAUUUAUCUUAAUGAUUUUUGUCUGAAAACCCAAAAUUAACUAAUCGUUAAAUGGUUGAGUAAAAUUUUUGAUUUCUAUUUAUAAUUAAUAUUAAUUGACAAUUUAAAUGAUUAACUUAGAUCAACAAUAAUCAUUUGGAGUAAUAAGUUUACGGUAAAUUAAAAAUGUAAACCAUUUACCGUUAGGAUUUUUGCGUUUUUUGUUUACUUUGGAUGAUAAUUGUUAAUUGCAAGGGUUUCCCUUUGAAGAUUAUGAUCAAAGUUAAUCACUGAUUGUCAAUUUUAAUUAUAAUUAUCAUGUUUUUCAUUUUCAUCCUUCAAGAAUGU